rnacentral:rRNA from 1 species
GGAUUUGAUCCUGGUCCAGGAUGAACGCUGGCGGCGUGGAUAAGGCAUGCAAGUCGAACGAUUAUGUUUUUGAAAAAAAUGAGAUUACAUCAAGUGGAUGGAUGAAGCAUGAUAGUGGCGAACGGGUUAGUAACACCUUGGUACAUACCUCAAAGCCGGGCAUAACUCAUCGAAAGGUGAGGUAAUUCCCGAUAGUCACUGAGAGCGAAAGCUCGAAGUGUAAAGUCGCAAGACACUUUGAGAUUGGCCUAGGUCUGAUCAGCUAGUUGGUGAGGUAACGGCUCACCAAGGCUAUGACCAGUAGGGGGGCUGAGAGGCUGAUCCCCAACGAUAGCACUGAGACACGGGCUAUACUCCUACGGGAGGCAGCAGUCGAGAAUAUUCGACAAUGGGCGCAAGCCUGAUCGAGCGACGCCGCGUGGAGGAAGAAGGUCUUCGGAUUGUAAACUCCUUUUCCACAAGAAAAACUUUUGUGAUUGUAUUGUGGGAAUAAGAAGCUGCUAACUUCGUGCCAGCAGCCGCGGUAAUACGAAGGCUUCAAGCGUUAUCCGGAUUUAUUGGGCGUAAAGUGUGCGUAGGAGGAUUUUUAAGUUUGAUGUUAAAUUUCGGGGCUCAACUUCGAAGCUGCAUUAAAUACUGAAAAUCUAGAGUGCGUGAGAGGUUCAUAGAACGCAUGGUGUAGGGGUGACAUCCGUUGAUAUCAUGCGGAAUACCAAAGGCGAAGGCAUUGAACUGGCGCGUUACUGACUCUGAGGCACGAAAGCGUGGGGAGCAAAAAGGAUUAGAUACCCUUGUAGUCCACGCCCUAAACGAUGUUCACUAGCUGUUUCGAGUAUCGACCCUCGGAGUGGCGUAGCUAACGCGUUAAGUGAACCGCCUGGGAAGUACGGCCGCAAGGCUAAAACUCAAAGGAAUAGACGGGGACUCGCACAAGCGGUGGAGCAUGAGGUUUAAUUCGACGGUAAGCGAGGAACCUUACCAGGGUUUGAAAUCCAGACGAAGUCCGCCAGAAACGGCGGAUGUCUCUCAAGGACGGCUGGACAGGUGCUGCAUGGUUGUCGUCAGCUCGUGUUUUGAAAUGUUCCCUUAAGUGGGGUAACGAGCGCAACCCCUAUCCUAUGUUUUAAGUGUCAUAGGAAACUGCCCUCUUUUUGGGGGAGGAAGGCGGGGAUGACGUCAAAUCAGCAUGGCCCUCUGAUACCUUGGGCUACACACGUGCUACAAUGGCCAAUACAAAGGGUUGCCAAAUCGUAAGAUGGAGCUAAUCCCUAAAAAAUGGCCUCAGUUCAGAUUGAGGGCUGCAACUCGCCCUCAUGAAGCCGGAAUCGCUAGUAAUCGUGGGUCAGCUAUACCACGGUGAAUACGUUCUCGAGUCCUGUACUCACCGCCCGUCACUUCAGGGGAGCCGGAAAUACCUAAAGCUUCGUUUCGUGCGGGGUUAGGGUAGUGUCGGUGACAUGGAAGAAGUCGUAACAAGGCACGCGUAGCGGAAGCUGUGCGUG